rnacentral:lncRNA from 1 species
UAAACUACAUCAGCUUAAGUACAACUUCGUCUCUUACUGUCUUCCUUUGUCUAUAUAACCUCACAGGCUAUAUUUGUUGGAGAAUCCGGGUACCUCUCUCAACAUCAACAACAAAUUGCAUCAACCAUGGCCUGUACAGCGCAUAUCGAGUCCAUCCUUCCAAAGUUCACCGGGUACGACUCGGAGGAUCCUGAGUUAUGGAUCGACCUGUACGAGAGAUAUGCUCUCCAGAAAGCAUAGACUGCUGUGCAACAAGCCAGCAAUUUUCCUCUCUACCUCGCCAGUUCUGCCAUUUACUGGUACAGAGACUUGCCUACAGCAACAACGGGCACCUUUGCAGAACUAAAACGGGCUUUGCUCAAGAAAUAUGAGCCACACGAAGGCAUGCGAUGGGUACGAUUGUCGAAGCUGGCCGACAGGAAACAACAGCCUAAUGAAGCAGUCAAAAGGUACUUGAGCGACAUAGAGAAACUGUGUUGUCAGUUAAAGCAAUCGCAAGAGAAGAGAAUGGAAGCAUUUGUAAGAGGACUGCUGCCCGACCUCAGAGCCCAUCAUCAAGUCUCAUCCUAAGACAAUGGAUGAGGCGGUAACGCAAGCUAGAAUUGCUCAGUCGACAUCUGCAGCGCAAUUAAGAACCAACCCCAUCCACUGAUGUGAACGUGAACUCUGCAAUCAAGCAGUUGACUUAACAGAUUGCUUCCCUCAAAGACCGGAUCACGACAGUUUUGGAGGCCACUCAGCCAUCUCUUCGAGAUCCACCAAGCAGAGGAUACGAGUUUGGACAGCGUUGCUUCCACCCCAAGCUAAUCUAAGUUUUCCGCCAGCAGCAAGGCCCACUGCAGCGAUCUCAAUCAGCGAUGCCCCCCAUGAUGCACCCGUGUCAUGGAUGUGGAGAGAACCUUCUCCUAACUUUUCUGCCAUCUGCCUUGGGAGGAUUGCCAAGGCACGUUGCCAUUGAAGAGGUCAGCGAGAUGCUGUAGCUGACUUCAGGAGUUCGAGGCUUGGGAUGUUGACUCUGUCUAGGUUGACUCUGUCUAGGUUGUCAUGCUUUUUCAGGAAGACUCUGUUGUGAAAGCUGGAAUGGCCUGAAACUGCACCACUUUGUGAUGACAUCACUUGUCAGAGAAGCUAUUCUAUGAGGCCUGGGCUUAUAAUAAUAAUAUGCGCUAUGCGCUUUCAUGAAAUCAACAAUUAUACAAAUUGAACAGAUAUGUUUUGACCCGGGUUUUGAAUUGUUCUGAUGUUUCGGCCUGUUUCACAGUAUCUGGUAAGUUGUUCCAUAGCUGAACUGCAGCUGAUUGGAAGGAGCGGGAACCAUAGGACUUAGUUUUGAUGACUGGGGGUGACAACAGAGAUUUAUGGGUAGAACGCAGAUUUCUAAGAUGCACUAGGUUGUUCAUUAAGGAAAAUCACG